rnacentral:rRNA from 1 species
GAACUUAAGCAUAUCAAUAAGCGGAGGAAAAGAAACCAACAGGGAUUACCCUAGUAACGGCGAGUGAAGCGGCAACAGCUCAAAUUUGAAAUCUGGCGUCUUCGGCGUCCGAGUUGUAAUUUGCAGAGGGCGCUUUGGCAUUGGCAGCGGUCCAAGUUCCUUGGAACAGGACGUCACAGAGGGUGAGAAUCCCGUACGUGGUCGCUAGCCUUUACCGUGUAAAGCCCCUUCGACGAGUCGAGUUGUUUGGGAAUGCAGCUCUAAAUGGGAGGUAAAUUUCUUCUAAAGCUAAAUACUGGCCAGAGACCGAUAGCGCACAAGUAGAGUGAUCGGAAGAUGAAAAGCACUUUGGAAAGAGAGUUAAAAAGCACGUGAAAUUGUUGAAAGGGAAGCGCUUGCAGCCAGACUUGCCUGUAGUUGCUCAUCCGGGUUUCUACCCGGUGCACUCUUCUACGGGCAGGCCAGCAUCAGUUUGGGCGGUUGGAUAAAGGUCUCUGUCAUGUACCUCUCUUCGGGGAGAACUUAUAGGGGAGACGACAUGCAACCAGCCUGGACUGAGGUCCGCGCAUCUGCUAGGAUGCUGGCGUAAUGGCUGUAAGCGGCCCGUCUUGAAACACGGACCAAGGAGUCUAACAUCUAUGCGAGUGUUUGGGUGUCAAGCCCGAGCGCGUAAUGAAAGUGAACGGAGGUGGGAACCCUUCGGGGUGCACCAUCGACCGAUCCUGAUGUCUUCGGAUGGAUUUGAGUAAGAGCAUAGCUGUUGGGACCCGAAA